AUUAAACGCUGGCGGCAUGCCUUACACAUGCAAGUCGAACGGCAGCACGGGGGCAACCCUGGUGGCGAGUGGCGGACGGGUGAGUAAAGCAUCGGAACGUAUCCUGGAGUGGGGGGAUAACGUAGCGAAAGUUACGCUAAUACCGCAUAUUCUGUGAGCAGGAAAGCAGGGGAUCGCAAGACCUUGCGCUCUGGGAGCGGCCGAUGUCGGAUUAGCUAGUUGGUGGGGUAAAGGCCUACCAAGGCGACGAUCCGUAGCGGGUCUGAGAGGAUGAUCCGCCACACUGGGACUGAGACACGGCCCAGACUCCUACGGGAGGCAGCAGUGGGGAAUUUUGGGACAAUGGGCGGAAGCCUGAUCCAGCCAUGCCGCGUGAGUGAAGAAGGCCUCGGUUGU
rnacentral:rRNA from 1 species